CAGCCGCCACGGUAAUACGAAGGGUGCAAGCGUUAAUCGGAAUUACUGGGCGUAAAGCGUGCGUAGGUGGUGAGUUAAGUCUGCUGUGAAAUCCCCGGGCUCAACCUGGGAAUGGCAGUGGAUACUGGCUCGCUAGAGUGUGUCAGAGGAUGGUGGAAUUCCCGGUGUAGCGGUGAAAUGCGUAGAGAUCGGGAGGAACAUCAGUGGCGAAGGCGGCCAUCUGGGACAACACUGACGCUGAGGCACGAAAGCGUGGGGAGCAAACAGGAUUAGAUACCCCCGUAGUCCCUGUCUCUUAUAC
rnacentral:rRNA from 1 species